rnacentral:rRNA from 1 species
GACGAACGCUGGCGGCGUGCCUAACACAUGCAAGUCGAACGGAACUGUUUUGAAAGAUUUCUUCGGAAUGAAUUUGAUUUAGUUUAGUGGCGGACGGGUGAGUAACGCGUGAGUAACCUGCCUUCAAGAGGGGGAUAACAUUCUGAAAAGAAUGCUAAUACCGCAUGACAUAUCGGAACCACAUGGUUUUGAUAUCAAAGAUUUUAUCGCUUGGAGAUGGACUCGCGUCCGAUUAGUUAGUUGGUGAGGUAACGGCUCACUAAGACCGCGAUCGGUAGCCGGACUGAGAGGUUGAACGGCCACAUUGGGACUGAGACACGGCCCAGACUCCUACGGGAGGCAGCAGUGGGGGAUAUUGCGCAAUGGGGGCAACCCUGACGCAGCAACGCCGCGUGAAGGAUGAAGGUUUUCGGAUUGUAAACUUCUUUUAUUAAGGACGA